rnacentral:rRNA from 1 species
AGCUUGCUUUUUAAGCUUAGUGGCGAACGGGUGAGUAACGCGUGAGUACCUGCCCUAGAGUGGGGGACAACAGUUGGAAACGACUGCUAAUACCGCAUAAGACCGCAUGGUAAAAGAUUUAUCGCUUUAGGAUGGACUCGCGUCCAAUUAGCUAGUUGGUGAGGUAACGGCCCACCAAGGCACGAUUGGUAGCCGGACUGAGAGGUUGAACGGCCACAUUGGGACUGAGACACGGCCCAGACUCCUACGGGAGGCAGCAGUGGGGGAUAUUGCACAAUGGGGGAAACCCUGAUGCAGCGACGCCGCGUGGAGGAAGAAGGUUUUCGGAUUGUAAACUCCUGUCGUUAGGGACGAUAAGACGGUACCUAACAAGAAAGCACCGGCUAACUACGUGCCAGCAGCCGCGGUAAAACGUAGGGUGCAAGCGUUGUCCGGAAUUACUGGGUGUAAAGGGAGCGCAGGCGGGAAGCAAGUUGGAAGUGAAAACCAUGGGCUCAACCCAUGAAUUGCUUUCAAAACUGUUUUUCUUGAGUAGUGCAGAGGUAGAUGGAAUUCCCGGUGUAGCGGUGGAAUGCGUAGAUAUCGGGAGGAAC